GGGGGCGUGGCGGAAUGGUAGACGCUGCGGAUUUAAAAUCCGUUGACUGUAAAAGUCGUGAGGGUUCAAGUCCCUCCGCCCCCA
rnacentral:tRNA from 1 species